UUAAGCUAUAAAGAGCGCAGGGUGGAUGCCUUGGCACUAAGAGCCGAUGAAAGACGUGAUAAGCUGCGAAAAGCUUCGGGGAGGAGCAAAUAUCCAUUGAUCCGGAGAUAUCUGAAUGGGGAAACCCGGCUGAGAAAUCCUCAGUCACUGCAUGGUGAAUCCAUAGCCAUGCAGAGGGAACCCGGUGAACUGAAACAUCUAAGUAGCCGGAGGAAAAGAAAGAAACAUCGAUUCCGGGAGUAGCGGCGAGCGAAACCGGAGGAGCCUAAACCAGUGUGCGUGCAUACUGGGGUUACGGACUGCAAAAGUGAGCCGACCCGUUAAUGGAACUGACUGGGAAGUCAGGCCAGAGAGAGUGAAAGCCUCGUACAUGAAAACGGUAGGCAGCGGCAGGAUCCAGAGUACCGCGGGACACGAGAAACCCUGCGGGAAGUGGGAGGGACCACCCUCCAAGGCUAAAUACUCCUUAGUGACCGAUAGCGCAUAGUACUGUGAAGGAAAGGUGAAAAGGACCCCGGGAGGGGAGUGAAAGAGAACCUGAAACCAUAUGUUUACAAGCUGUGGAACAUCUUUAUAUGAUGAACCGCGUACUUUUUGUAGAACGGUCCGGCGAGUUACGCUGGCUGGCGAGGUUAAGGGCUGAAGGCCUGGAGCCGAAGGGAAACCGAGUCUGAACAGGGCGAAAUAGUCAGUCGGAGUAGACCCGAAACCGGGUGAUCUAUCCAUGUCCAGGUUGAAGUUGCCGUAAAAGGCAAUGGAGGACCGAACCCACAUCCGUUGAAAAGGGUGGGGAUGAGGUGUGGAUAGGGGAGAAAUUCCAAUCGAACCCGGAGAUAGCUGGUUCUCCUCGAAAUAGCUUUAGGGCUAGCCUCGUAUUAGUUUAGCGGAGGUAGAGCACUGAAUUCCUAAGGGGGCGUCAAAGCUUACCAAGGGAUAUCAAACUCCGAAUGCCGCAUAAAUGAUGUACGGGAGUCAGACUGCACGAGAUAAGUUGGGCAGUCAAAAGGGAAAGAGCCCAGACCUACAGCUAAGGUCCCAAAGUGUGUGUUAAGUGGAAAAGGAUGUGGGAUUUCAGAGACAACCAGGAUGUUGGCUUAGAAGCAGCCACACAUUCAAAGAGUGCGUAAUAGCUCACUGGUCGAGAGGUCCUGCGCCGAAAAUGUCCGGGGCUGAAACACAACACCGAAGCUUAGGAACGAGAAAUCGUUGGUAGAGGAGCAUUCUUAAAGGGGCGAAGCAGUACCGACAAGGAGCUGUGGACUUUUAAGAAGAGAGAAUGCCGGAAUGAGUAGCGAGAUGGAGGUGGGAAUCCUCCAGGCCGAAUAUCUAAGGUUUCCAGAGUAAAGCUGAUCUGCUCUGGGUAAGUCGGGGCCUAAGGCGAGGCUGAAAAGCGUAGUCGAUGGACAACAGGUUGAGAUUCCUGUACCGCGUAUUAUCAGAACUGUGGGGACACAGAAGGACAGCACAUCCCGGGAAUGGGAAAACCGGGGCAAGCAGGGUAGGAGUCAGGCAGGAAAAACCGUCUGGCAAUCCGAAGCUGUGAAGCGGAGCGAAUGAAAGUAGCGAAGUGUGCGAUUCCAGCUGUCAAGAAAAGCCGCUAUUGUGUGAUACGUGCCCGUACCGUAAACCGACACAGGUGGAUGAGGAGAGAAUCCUAAGGCCGGCGGGAGAAGCAUUGUUAAGGAACUCGGCAAAAUGACCCCGUAACUUCGGGAGAAGGGGUGCCACAGAGAUGUGGCCGCAGAGAAUAGGCUCAAGCAACUGUUUAGCAAAAACACAGGUCUAUGCAAAACCGAAAGGUGAGGUAUAUGGGCUGACGCCUGCCCGGUGCUGGAAGGUUAAGAGGAGAGGUUAGCGCAAGCGAAGCUUUGAAUUGAAGCCCCAGUAAACGGCGGCCGUAACUAUAACGGUCCUAAGGUAGCGAAAUUCCUUGUCGGGUAAGUUCCGACCCGCACGAAAGGCGUAAUGAUUUGAGCGCUGUCUCAACAAUGCACCCGGUGAAAUUGAAAUACCAGUGAAGAUGCUGGUUACCUGCGCCA
rnacentral:rRNA from 1 species